AGGCUGAAAAGCGUAGGCGAUGGACAACAGGUUGAUAUUCCUGUACCACCUCUUUACCGUUUGAGCAAUGGGGGGACGCAGGAGGAUAGGGUAAGCGCGCUGCUGGAUUAGCGCGUCCAAGCAGUUAGGCCGGUAACGAGGCAAAUCCCGUUACCACAUAGGCUGAGCUGUGACGGCGAGGGAAAUUUAGUACCGAAGUUCCUGAUUCCACACUGCCAAGAAAAGCCUCUAGCGAGGGAAAAGGUGCCCGUACCGCAAACCGACACAGGUAGGCGAGGAG
rnacentral:rRNA from 1 species